AUACGAAUACAAAGGCCCAAUAGCGCACCACAACCUGAACUUUCAGCAUGACUCCACAUGCGUCAUUACACAAAAUGGGGAUAUUACAAAUUGCUCCAAACAUUAAUACAUGAUCAUCCAUGUUUAAAAUUACAGCACUAAGUCAAUACGGAAAAUCAUGACUCAAAUUUACAGUAACAGCCCAUAAAUCAUCAUUAUACAAGUUGAGGUCUAUUAAAGUUGAGCCACAUUUAUUAGCGUACAGGUCCAAUUUUUAGUUUCAACAGAGUGUAACAUAUAAACACGAGCAAAAUAAUUGCAUCAGAAAAACAUAAUUUCAAAUUUACGAGAACAGCAACUCUAAUUACAACUAAUUGUUGGGAACAGUGAUUCGAUAAUUAAAAAAUAAUUAUAGUGAUCUCCCAUACAAUCUUCAUGUAUCAAUUAAUUUAUUACAUCGAAUAUGACUAAUAGCUAAACCUAUGAGCUAUCAUUCUGCAAUUAUGCAGUCCCAAAGUAUUACGACAAACAAGUCUCAAGCAGUUUAAUUCGUGCCUCCUUAUGCCUUAAUUAAUCCAAGUAGGCUCCCUAAUUUGCAAGAAAAAUAGUCACUGGCAUACUCUUGCAAACUAGAUUUGUGCAUAGCAAUCAAAAUAAGGACAUGAGCAGAUUAUUAGCAGACAUUAAUUUCAUAAAUCAUUCAUAGGGCAAUUAAUCGCAUGCAACUUUACUCUUCACCAUACUAUUAAACUCAGUAUGCUUUAACCUAUUCAUCCAACCAUUACAUCCAUCCUUGCAAGUAUUCAAACAUGUAAACAAAAAUCAACAUUUGAAACGAGCAGAAGUUUCAUCUUAGACUUCAUAGUUCCAUUAUUCAAAACACCAAACAGACAUAAACAAUUCAUCACUGAACUAACUGAAUUCAAAUCAUCACUAAGCUUAAAUCAGAAGAGAUUCAAUAAAUAUAGCAGUAACAAAUCAUAAUGUCAUGGAAAAAGAGGAAUCAAUUCAUUUUGCCAACAACAGUAAUUCAAAAUCAAAGGUGAGUACCUGAUUGUGCAGGAAUCACAUUAGAAAUGCCAAAUAAAGGCUAAGUAAGAGAAAAUUACAGCUCAGCCAAACAGGAACAGUAGAUCAGCAACUUCACAGCUCAAGUAUCAACCAGAAUUACAGGAAAAUGAAGCAGAAGAACAGAAAAUCGAACCAAUUUCUGAAAAACUCUUCUGUUUUGUUUUUGUUUUGUUCUUUUGGAUCUUUUUUUUGAGUUUUCUAGAUCUGGAUUUGAAUUCCAGAAUUUUUUAAGCUACUAGUUGUGAAUAUCCAUGUGUGAAGGUGAGAGAGUGACAGUAUGAGUAUGAAUGAGUGAAUAUGUAUGAAUGAGAAGAGCCCGUGAGGGGAAGGCAUCUUUUAUAACAGAUUUUCCCGCUGUUGCUUCUGUUAUUUUCCUUCUUUUUACUCCCUCUCAAUUUUGUUAUUUACAUGCUCAGCUCCUAGAUAAUUGACCUAUUGUACUGUUUUAUUCCACAUAAGCCCUAACUACUCUCUUCUAGAAGCUCCCUAGACAGCUAACAAUAAGGUUCCUCAAAUUUAAUUCUCCAAUUGCCCCUCUAGACCCCUGUUUCUUACUCUUUCUUUUAUUCUUGCCUUCUUCUUUUACCCCCUUUUAUUUUUACCCAUCAAAACUUGUAAGAGUGGACCUGGGCCGAAAUAAUUCAAGCACACUGCCCAGACCCAAUCUCUUUAUCUUUUCAACAGCCCAAAUUAAACUAACCUAAAUGGAUUGAUCAAUUCUAUAAACCAUCCUAAUUAACUGCAGA
rnacentral:lncRNA from 1 species